rnacentral:lncRNA from 1 species
GCACAUGACCCUCAAGUCCCUGUUUUAUCUACACCCAGUUCCCAGGAAGCACCUAGUCUAUUAUGGGAACUGGUGAGUGUGAUGCCAAAUGGAUGAGCUCUCCAAGCAGCAGAGACCAGUCAGGUCUCGGACAGAUUCAAAGCCAGCACCCUCCCGCCUCCAACAGAUCUGAGGGGAACCCCUUCUUGUGGCUCCAGCUCCAGACUGAGCAGCUGUGUACCAGGAAAGGACAUUCAGAGCAAGGCAGCCUCUACCCAGACCACUGGGAGUUUUCAUCAAAGGGAAAGAAGACAAGGCACAGCGCAGGGGCUGGUUCUCAAGGCUUCCACACAAAGCUGACCCAAUCAUUCUGCUCACGUUUCACAGGCUGGAACAGGUCUCCUGGAGACCUAAGCAUUCAAGAAAUAGGAAAAUGGGGCAGCCGGGGUGGCCCAGUGGUUUAGCGAUGCCUUCAGCCCAGGACCUGAUCCUGGAGACCCGGGAUCGAGUCCCACCUCGGGCUCCCUGCAUGGAGCCUGCUUCUCCCUCUCCUGUGCCUCUGCCUCUCUCUCUGUGUCUCUCAUGAAUAAAUAAAUAAAAUAUUAAAAAAAAAAGAAAUAAGGAAUGUAAUCCCCUACCUCAGAAUUUGGCAAACUUCUGUAUAAGGCCUCGUGGUAAGUAUUAUAUACUGUGGGCUGC